CUUUCCCGACUGGAAUGGUGAUGAAUCAGAGUAGGGCAAUGGAACGACUCCUUUGGAUGUGUGACUCAAAUGCAUAUCACUCUUCAUCCUUGAAGUGCCUCCUUAUUACACAGAUCUGCUGGUAUGGGGAAAGGGACAAGAAAAUGUUGGCCAAAAAAUUUCUCCCAGCUCUAUUUGGGAUAAGAAGAGCGGUGUAGCAUUGAAGCUUGAUGCCUGCAUCUGUUUCUGUUGAGGAAUCCUAGGCUGAUGCUCCCAUAGAAGGAAGGAGGAAAUCUCUUCUUUUUCCCUGCAUUGAGUGGGGAAGACAAGGCCGGAGGACCCUGGGCAAGAGACUGUUCAGCUUAGGAGGAUGAAGAACAACUGAGAUCUGCACUGACACAUGAAACCCUGCAGGUGAAGAAUGGUGGAUUGUUUUGCACUCUUUGUUCCAUUGGGAGAGAUGGGCUCUUAUGUUUGCCUGGGGGGCUAAAUUAAGGGACUCUGCCAGGAGAGUGGGGAACUGCAUUGUCUACCUGCUAAGAGGAGACAGUCAUCAGGAGGGAAACUGAGGCCCAGAAGAGGGUAACCAAGGCGUGGCUGUGAUUGGGAGAGAUAUGUAUCUGUUGGACAAUCAAAGGAGCUACUUCAUUCCUGUGGACCCCAAAUUAAAUCCAACAUAUAUUCCAUACUAAUACAUUUAUUAAAGUACUAAUUAAAUGCUAAAUCUUAAUUUGUUAACUUGAGACCAUGGGCGGAGACAUGUAACCUUUUGACCAUUGGCUGCUGUGCUAUCAUGUCUAGCAGCUAAACCUAUCUGGGGGUGUGGGACUGCCUACCCCGUCACUUUCCCCGCCCAUGGAAAAUCCAUAUAUUCUAUUGUAAUCAAUUGAUUGACAGUGUCUCUGAGCCUAAUAAGCGAGGUGACACUCCGUCAGCGCUGUAGGUAAUAAACUCCUAUGCUUGACCUCUACACGGUGUGGAUUUAUGUCCUUCAAGCACCUAAGGGUAUGUCUACACUACGGAAUUAGGUCGAAUUUAUAGAAGUCGGUUUUUUAGAAAUCGGUUUUAU